rnacentral:rRNA from 1 species
AAUCAACGCUGGCGGCGUGCCUAACACAUGCAAGUCGAGCGGGAAAGGGGGCUUCGGUCCCUGAGUAUAGCGGCGGACGGGUGAGUAACACGUGGGUAAUUUGCCCUUGGGUGUGGAAUAACUCAGGGGAAACUUGAGCUAAUACCGCAUGACAUCCCCUUCUCACAGGAGUUGGGGAAUCAAAGCCGGGGACCCUCGGGGCCUGGCGCCUGAGGAGAAGCCCGCGCCCGAUUAGCUAGUUGGUGAGGUAAUGGCUCACCAAGGCUUCGAUCGGUAGCCGGCCUGAGAGGGCGGACGGCCACACUGGGACUGAGACACGGCCCAGGACUCCUACGGGAGCAGCAGUGGGGAAUUUUUGCAAUGGGGGAAACCCUGAACAAGCAACGCCGCGUGGAGGACGACGACCUCGGUGUAAC